rnacentral:piRNA from 1 species
UGCGAAUUCGACAAGUAAUAA